rnacentral:rRNA from 1 species
CCUACGGGAGGCAGCAGUCGAGACUCAUUCACAAUGGGGUAAACCCUGAUGGUGCGACGCCGCUUGGGGGAAUGAAGGUCUUCGGUUUGUAAACCCCUGUCAUGUGGGAGCAAAUUAAAAAGAUAGUACCACCAGCGGACGAGACGGCUAACUCUGUGCCAGCAGCCGGGGUAAUCCAGAGGUCUCAAGCGUUGUUCGGAAUAACUGGGCGUAAGGCGUGCGUAGGCUGUUUCGUAAGUCGUGUGUGAAAGGCGCGGGCUCAACCCGCGGACGGCACAUGAUACUGCGAGACUAGAGUAAUGGAGGGGGAACCGGAAAUCACGGGGUAGCAGGGAAAUGCGGAGAUAUCGAGAGGAACACUCGUGGCGAAGGCGGGUUCCUGGACAUUAACUGACGCUGAGGCACGAAGGCCAGGGGAGCGAAAGGGAUUAGAUACCCCUGGUAGUC